rnacentral:rRNA from 1 species
GACGAACCGAGCGAACGUUGUUCGGAAUCACUGGGCUUAAAGGGCGCGUAGGCGGGUGCUCAAGUCCGGGGUGAAAUCCUCCAGCUCAACUGGAGAACUGCCUCGGAUACUGGGUGUCUCGAGGGUGGUAGGGGUAUGCGGAACUAUCGGUGGAGCGGUGAAAUGCGUUGAUAUCGAUAGGAAUUCCGGUGGCGAAGGCGGCAUACUGGACCACAUCUGACGCUGAGGCGCGAAAGCCAGGGGAGCAAACGGG